rnacentral:rRNA from 1 species
AUUGAACGCUGGCGGCAUGCCUUACACAUGCAAGUCGAACGGUAACAGGUCUUCGGGUGCUGGCGAGUGGCGAACGGGUGUGUAAUACAUCGGAACGUGCCCGAUCGUGGGGUAUAACGCGGCGAAAGCUUUUCUAAUACCGCAUACGAUCUACGUAAGAAAGCGGGGGCGCUUCGGACCUGGCGCGGGCGGAGCGGCCGAUGGGAGAUUAGGUAGUUGGUGGCAUAAAAGCUUACGAAGCUGACGAUCUGGAGCUGGUCUGAGAGGGUGAUCAGGCAGACUGUCACUGAGACACGUCACACACUCCGACGGUGGGCAGCAGUCGGGAAUUUUGGACAAGGCGCGAAAGCCUGAUACAGCCAUGCCGCGUGCAGCAUGAAGGACUUUGGGUUGUAAACUGCUUUUGUCCGGAACGAUAAGCACCUUUCUAAUAAAGAGGGGUCAUGACGGUACCGUAAGAAUAAGCACCGGCUAACUACGUG